rnacentral:lncRNA from 1 species
UCAUUGGACCAUCUAGAAGUAUUUUAUACACUUUUUCAGAAGCAUUUGGAGUAGCCGGACUAGAUGAGAGUUCACUCUUAACAGAGGUGAGUGACAUGUCACCCAUACCCUCCCUUCAGCCUUUGAAAAGUGUUUGUUCUGUGACUUCAAAACCACCCUUCUCUCACUCAGACUCCUCUGCUGCCUUUAUAAUCACUACUUUGUAAACUUCAAGCAGGACUUUUGCCCCUCCCCUGACCCACAACCCAGCACUCCGCUUACUGUUUCUUCAGGAUCUGUCUGGAUGCUUGGUCCGCUCUCAUUUGAUGUUUUCUUUGAACCUAUUUUAUCCACACCUUCUGGCUUCAGCCCUGUCUUGUGCUGAUGACCACCAUCUGGUAGACCGCAGGAUUAGUUCCAAGUACCCAUUACCUAUACCCUCAUGAACACCCCAAAUUUAAUACAACUAGAGAGAAAUAUCCAAUCAAACAUGCACUGUGGCUUACACGUGCCUCUUUUCCAGGUUACUUUCCAAAGUUUUUCCAUUUUGGAUAGUUUUGUAAUCUAUUCAUUAUUGCAAGUCAGAAUCCAGAGUGAGAUUAAUCUUCUCUUUCUCUGUUUCUCUUCAACCUAAAUUAGUUAUGAAAGCCAUUUCAACUUUUAAAUUCUGUUUAUGACCUUUCAACAUAAUUGUAAUAUGCAAAAAUUAAAAGCAAACAGAGGGGGAAAGCAUCUAGAUAGCAGGCCUAGAUCUCUUUUCCUCUUGAGAUGUGCCACAGCAGCUAAUUCCUGGAUUGAUUUUUUCCUUUAUUAUAAAUACUGAUAUCCCCAGUUCCCCUCUGCCAGCUCCACAGCACUUAAUUCCUCUGGAGGCUGAUGAAUUUGUUUUGCACCUAACUCAGGACCAAGGUUCUAGAUUUUCACUGAAUUGAUUUUUAACUCCAAAGGAAUUGAUUCACCAUCUUUAUCCUAAUUUCUGCCAUGCAGAAAAGAAGGGCCAUAACAAAACACUUUGACUGUGGCACACUGGAAAACAUACAAUGUUCAUUUCCCAGAGGCUGGAGAUAUGUGAGUUCCAACACAAGAAUCAAUGAUAAGAAGGCAGGCAUGAGACUGAAGAGAUAGCUAAGCAAUUAAGAAUCCUGGCUGCUAAUGCUGAGGACCCCAAUUCAGUUCCUAGCGCCCACAGGGUGGCUCACAACCAUCUAUAACUCCAAUACUCCAAGAGGUAUUUGUUGCCCUCUUCUGGCCCCUAUGGGCACCAGGCAUGCAUAGGGUACAUAUACAUGCAUGCAAACAAACACUCAUAG